GACGAACGCUGGCGGCGUGCUUAACACAUGCAAGUCGAACGCUGAAGCUUGGUGCUUGCACUGGGUGGAUGAGUGGCGAACGGGUGAGUAAUACGUGAGUAACAUGACCUUGACUCUGGGAUAAGCCUGGGAAACUGGGUCUAAUACUGGAUACGACAUGUCACCGCAUGGUGGUGUGUGGAAAGGGUUUUACUGGUUUUGGAUGGGCUCACGGCCUAUCAGCUUGUUGGUGGGGUAAUGGCUCACCAAGGCGACGACGGGUAGCCGGCCUGAGAGGGUGACCAGCCACACUGGUGCUGAGACGCGGCCCAGACUCCUACUGGAGGAAGCAGUAGGGAAGAAUGCACAAUGGGCGGAAGACUGAUGCAGCGGCGCCGCGUGAGGGAUGACGACCGUCGAGGUGUAGUCCUCUUUCAGCACGGAAGAAGAGAAAGUGACGGUACGUGCAGAAGAAGCGCCGGCUAACUACGUG
rnacentral:rRNA from 1 species